rnacentral:rRNA from 1 species
UACGUAGGGGGCAAGCGUUGUCCGGAUUUAUUGGGCGUAAAGAGCGUGUAGGCGGCUAGGUAGGUCCGUUGUGAAAACUCGAGGCUCAACCUCGAGCUGUCGAUGGAAACCAUCUGGCUAGAGUCCGGAAGAGGAGAGUGGAAUUCCUGGUGUAGCGGUGAAAUGCGUAGAUAUCUGGAGGAACACCGGUGGCGAAGGCGGCAUCCUGGACCAACACUGACGCUGAGGAGCGAAAGCCAGGGGAGCAAACGGGG